UAAGCCAUGCAUGUCUAAGUACAGACGUUUAUAACGUGAAACCGCGAACGGCUCAUUAAAUCAGCUAUUAUCUACUUGAUAUUGAUUUAAAGAUACAUGGAUAACUGUGGUAAUUCUAGAGCUAAUACAUGCACAAAUGCUCUGACCUUUACCGGGAAGAGUGCAUUUAUUGGAGCAAAACCAAGGCUUCGGCCCUGUAUUGCUGACUCAGAAUAACUCUUAGCUGAUCGCACGGUCUUGCACCGGCGACGUAUCCUAUGAGUAUCUGCCUUAUCAACUUUCGAUGGUAGUGUAUUUGACUACCAUGGUGUUGACGGGUAACGGAGAAUAAGGGUUCGACUCCGGAGAAGGGGCCUGAGAAAUGGCCACUACGUCUAAGGAUGGCAGCAGGCGCGCAAAUUACCCACUCUCGGAAAGAGGAGGUAGUGACGAGAAAUAACGAGACCGUUCUCUAUGAGGCCGGUUAUCGUAAUGGGUUAAACUUAAACCCUUUAACGAUGAACUAUGAGAGGGCAAGUCUGGUGCCAGCAGCCGCGGUAAUUCCAGCUCUCAAAAUGCAUAGAACCAUUGUUGCGGUUAAAAAGCUCGUAGUUGAAUCUGUGCCGGGGACGCGGUCGCCUCAUUGAGUGCGCACUGUGCUCUCCGGUGUUAAACGCCGGUCUUCUCGUUGUCGCCUUAACCGGUGGCGGCGGGUGGCUGGCAAAUUUACUUUGAAUAAAUCAGAUGGCUCAAUCAAGGCGUUUUGCCUGUAUGUUUUUGCAUGGAAUAAUGGAACAGGACUUCGGUCUAGUUUUGUUGGUUUUAUUGACCGUAGUAAUGAUUAACAGGGACAAACGGGGGCAUUCGUAUUGUUACGCGAGAGGUGAAAUUCUAGGACCGUAGCAAGACGACCUACAGCGAAAGCAAUUGCCAAGUUUGUCUUCAUUAAUCAAGAACGAAAGUCAGAGGAUCGAAGGUGAUCAGAUACCGCCCUAG
rnacentral:rRNA from 1 species